ACGAGUGGCGGACGGGUGAGUAACACGUAGGUAACCUGCCCAGAAGCGGGGGACAACAUUUGGAAACAGAUGCUAAUACCGCAUAACAGCGUUGUUCGCAUGAACAACGCUUAAAAGAUGGCUUCUCGCUAUCACUUCUGGAUGGACCUGCGGUGCAUUAGCUUGUUGGUGGGGUAACGGCCUACCAAGGCGAUGAUGCAUAGCCGAGUUGAGAGACUGAUCGGCCACAAUGGGACUGAGACACGGCCCAUACUCCUACGGGAGGCAGCAGUAGGGAAUCUUCCACAAUGGGCGCAAGCCUGAUGGAGCAACACCGCGUGAGUGAAGAAGGGUUUCGGCUCGUAAAGCUCUGUUGUUAAAGAAGAACACGUAUGAGAGUAACUGUUCAUACGUUGACGGUAUUUAACCAGAAAGUCACGGCUAACUACGUGCCAGCAGCCGCGGUAAUACGUAGGUGGCAAGCGUUAUCCGGAUUUAUUGGGCGUAAAGAGAGUGCAGGCGGUUUUCUAAGUCUGAUGUGAAAGCCUUCGGCUUAACCGGAGAAGUGCAUCGGAAACUGGAUAACUUGAGUGCAGAAGAGGGUAGUGGAACUCCAUGUGUAGCGGUGGAAUGCGUAGAUAUAUGGAAGAACACCAGUGGCGAAGGCGGCUACCUGGUCUGCAACUGACGCUGAGACUCGAAAGCAUGGGUAGCGAACAGGAUUAGAUACCCUGGUAGUCCAUGCCGUAAACGAUGAGUGCUAGGUGUUGGAGGGUUUCCGCCCUUCAGUGCCGGAGCUAACGCAUUAAGCACUCCGCCUGGGGAGUACGACCGCAAGGUUGAAACUCAAAGGAAUUGACGGGGGCCCGCACAAGCGGUGGAGCAUGUGGUUUAAUUCGAAGCUACGCGAAGAACCUUACCAGGUCUUGACAUCUUGCGCCAACCCUAGAGAUAGGGCGUUUCCUUCGGGAACGCAAUGACAGGUGGUGCAUGGUCGUCGUCAGCUCGUGUCGUGAGAUGUUGGGUUAAGUCCCGCAACGAGCGCAACCCUUGUUACUAGUUGCCAGCAUUAAGUUGGGCACUCUAGUGAGACUGCCGGUGACAAACCGGAGGAAGGUGGGGACGACGUCAGAUCAUCAUGCCCCUUAUGACCUGGGCUACACACGUGCUACAAUGGACGGUACAACGAGUCGCGAACUCGCGAGGGCAAGCAAAUCUCUUAAAACCGUUCUCAGUUCGGACUGCAGGCUGCAACUCGCCUGCACGAAGUCGGAAUCGCUAGUAAUCGCGGAUCAGCAUGCCGCGGUGAAUACGUUCCCGGGCCUUGUACACACCGCCCGUCACACCAUGAGAGUUUGUAACACCCAAA
rnacentral:rRNA from 1 species